GUGAAAAUCAGAUUUUUAAAAAAGGCUUCAGGAUCCCAAGUUGAGUCACUACACACAAGAACACCUCAAUUUAUCAAGUUUGACUGGAUUCCCUUAAAGUGGCUGGGACUUACUCCUCGUCUGUGAUGGCCUCGUGGCAGCUGUCGCAUACCCUCACUUCAAACUCGAAGCCCAUCAGAGGGAUGGAGGAGCGCUUGGAGCUGCACUUGCCACAGACAGCCUUCCCGCACUUUCGGCAGUGGUGCUGGAGGGAGAGAAAACAUGAUCACUGGGACUGCGGCUGCGCUGCGCGCCUUGGCCCCGCCUAGUAGGCUCAGAUUCUGCAUAUGAUGACUUUGCAUUUGCUUCUUGGGUUCCAUGUUCAGCUCUGUAAAUUCACCCUCUGGCAGAGAGACUGGUCUCUUUCCACAUGUCACCAA